rnacentral:rRNA from 1 species
UACGGGGGGGGUAAGCGUUGUUCGGAAUUACUGGGCGUAAAGGGCUCGUAGGCGGCCAACUAAGUCAGACGUUAAAUCCCUCAGCUUAACUGGGGAACUGCGUCUGAUACUGGAUGGCUUGAAUCCGGGAGAGGGAUGUGGAAUUCCAGGUGUAGCGGUGAAAUGCGUAGAUAUCUGGAGGAACACCGGUGGCGAAGGCGACAUCCUGGACCGGUAUUGACGCUGAGGCGCGAAAGCCAGGGGAGCAAACGGG